AUGCUGCAGGUGGAGGAGGCGCUGGCGGCGGUGCUGUCCGCCGCGGCGGCCUGCCGCGCCGCGCCGUCGGCCGUGCCGCUGCUCGACGCGCUCGGCCUCGUCCUCGCGGAGGACGUCCGCGCGCCCGACCCCCUGCCCCCCUUCCGCGCAUCCGUCAAGGUCAGUCCCAGUCGAGUCAACCACCCCCCUCCCGCUGCUCCGUCUGAGGUGAAUAACGGCCGUCCCCUGCAGGACGGGUACGCCGUGGUGGCCGCCGACGGGCCCGGGGAGUACCCGGUCAUCGCGGAGGCCAGGGCCGGCGACGACGCGCUCGGCGUGGUCGUGACGCCAGGCACCGUCGCGUACGUCACGACCGGAGGUGCGGCGGCGGCUUACUACUACUACUACUACUCCCUAUCUAUUUAUCUAUCUCCGGUGCUGCGUGCGUUUUCCGGUGAGCUGACUACGCGGCUGUGGUUGCUGUGUUGGGCAGGGCCGAUUCCCGACGGCGCGGAUGCCGUCGUGCAGGUGGAGGACACGGAGCAGGUCGCCGCCGCGCCGGAUGGGUCGAAGAGGGUCAGGAUCUCGGUGCGGGUACCCGAGGGGCACGAUAUACGCAGCGUGGGAUGUGACAUAGAGAAAGAUUAUAUAGUGCUGAAAUCUGGUGAGAACAUAGGUCCUGCAGAAAUUGGGCUACUUGCAACAGUGGGAGUAACUACUGUCAAGGCAUACCGUCGACCAACCAUUGCUGUAUUUUCUACAGGGGAUGAGUUAGUUCAGCCAGCCACUGCAACUCUCAAUCGUGGUCAGAUUCGUGAUUCUAACCGGGCCAUGCUACUUGCUGCUGCUAUUCAGCAGAAGUGUAAAGUGGUUGACUUGGGUAUUGCAAAAGAUACUGAAGAAAGUCUUAUGGAGCAUAUGGAUGCAGCUCUACGUUCUGAUGCUGAUAUAAUCCUUACUUCUGGUGGUGUUUCCAUGGGUGAUAGAGAUCUUGUCAAACCUUGCUUGGCAAAGAUGGGUAAAAUUCACUUCGAAAAGAUCCGGAUGAAACCAGGAAAGCCAUUGACAUUUGCUGAGAUCACAUCAAAUGACCCAACAAAGCCAUCCAAAACAGCUCUUGCUUUUGGCUUGCCUGGAAACCCAGUGAGCUGUAUGGUUUGCUUCAAUCUCUUUGUUGUUCCUGCAAUACGACUUGUCUCUGGUUGGUCAAAUCCUCAUCUGCAAAGAGUGCAUGUGCGUAUAUCACAUCCUCUAAGAGCAGACCCACAUCGUAUGGAGUUUCAUCGUGCAGUGAUCAGAUGGGUGCUUGACGAUGGAUCUGGUAGACCAGGUUACGUUGCUGAGAGCACUGGCCAACAAGCCAGUAGCCGCCUUCUAAGUAUGAAGUCUGCAAAUGCCUUGCUGGAAGUGCAAUCAUCCGGGCAGAUAUUGGCAGCUGGAGCAUCCGUCCAAGCAAUACUUAUUUCUGAUAUAACUAGCCCUCCUCUGGAUAAGCUGCCUGCUGCUUCCAGCCCCAUAUCAUCUCAUAUUGUUUCUUCUGCAAAAAGUGCUUCGGCGGAUGCGCCACAGGUUGCUGCCUCUCAGAAUGCCGAAGUUAAAGUAGCAAUUCUGACUGUUAGUGACACUGUUUCUUCUGGAGGAGGCCCCGAUAGGAGUGGCCCAAGAGCUGUAUCUGUAGUGAACUCUUCAUCAGAGAAAUUGGGGGGAGCAUUUGUUGUUGCUACUGCUGUGGUUCCAGAUGAAGUGGACAAAAUUAAGGAGAUUCUGGUGAAGUGGAGUGAUAUUGACCGUGUUAACCUCAUCUUGACCUUAGGUGGCACUGGCUUCACACCUAGAGAUGUUACUCCAGAAGCAACUAAAUCUGUAAUAGAGAAAGAAGCACCUGGCCUUGCGUUUGUUAUGAUUCAGGAGAGUUUGAAGGUGACACCAUUUGCGAUGCUAUCCCGAGCGGCGUGUGGGAUAAGAGGAUCGACACUUAUCAUCAACAUGCCCGGCAACCCGAAUGCUGUCGCGGAGUGCAUGGAGGCUCUUCUCCCAGCGCUGAAGCAUGCCAUGAAGCAGCUGAAGGGUGACAAGAGGGAGAAGAACCCCCGACACAUACCUCACGCUGAAGCCGCACCAGUCGACCAGUGGGAGCGCAGUUUCAGAGCUGCAUCAUCGGGUGGUGGCUGCUCAUGCGACCCCUGA
rnacentral:rRNA from 1 species